CAGCCGCCGCGGGAAUACGAAGGGGGCUAGCGUUGCUCGGAAUGACUGGGCGUAAAGGGCGCGUAGGCGGCGAUCAAAGUCAGGCGUGAAAUUCCUGGGCUCAACCUGGGGGCUGCGCUUGAUACUUGGUUGCUUGAGUGGGGAAGAGGGUCGUGGAAUUCCCAGUGUAGAGGUGAAAUUCGUAGAUAUUGGGAAGAACACCGGUGGCGAAGGCGGCGACCUGGUCUUUUACCGACGCUGAGGCGCGAAGCGUGGGGAGCAAACAGGAUUAGAUACCCCGGUAGUCCCUGUCUCUUAUACA
rnacentral:rRNA from 1 species